UCUCUAAACAAUUGGAUGUCUUGGCUCCUCACACGAUGAAGAACGUUGCAUAAUGUGAUAAGUAACUGGAGUUGCGAACAUUGUGACAAGUUAAUCUUUGAAUGCAAAUUGCGCAUACCUGAAUUUAUUCAGAUGCAUAUAUAUUCUAGUACUACA
rnacentral:rRNA from 1 species